AGAAUCAACGCUGGCGGCGUGCCUAACACAUGCAAGUCGCACGAGAAAGUGGAGCAAUCCAUGAGUACAGUGGCGCACGGGUGAGUAACACGUGAAUGAUCUACCUCCGAGUGGGGAAUAACCUAGAGAAAUCUGGGCUAAUACCGCAUAACACUUACGAGUCAAAGCAGCAAUGCGCUUGGAGAGGAGUUCGCGGCCGAUUAGCUAGUUGGCGGGGUAAUGGCCCACCAAGGCGAUGAUCGGUA
rnacentral:rRNA from 1 species